UACGAAGGGUGCAAGCGUUACUCGGAAUUACUGGGCGUAAAGCGUGCGUAGGUGGUUCGUUAAGUCCGAUGUGAAAGCCCUGGGCUCAACCUGGGAAUGGCAUGGGAUACUGGCGGGCUAGAGUGCGGUAGAGGGUGGCGGAAUUCCGCGUGUAGCAGUGAAAUGCGUAGAGAUGCGGAGGAACACCGAUGGCGAAGGCAGCCCCCUGGGCUAGCACUGACGCUCAGGCACGAAAGCGUGGGGAGCAAACAGG
rnacentral:rRNA from 1 species